rnacentral:rRNA from 1 species
ACACGGAGGGCGCAAGCGUUGCUCGGAAUCACUGGGCGUAAAGCGGGUGUAGGCGGUCUAGCAAGUCAGAUGUGAAAGCCCACGGCUCAACCGUGGAAGUGCAUCUGAAACUGCUAGACUUGAGUGCCGUAGAGGGAAGUGGAAUUCCUGGUGUAGGGGUGAAAUCCGUAGAUAUCAGGAGGAACACCGGUGGCGAAGGCGACUUCCUGGACGGCCACUGACGCUGAGACCCGAAAGCGUGGGGAGCAAACAGGAUUAGAAACCCUAGUAGUCC